UCGGGGUGCCCGAGGCGCGAAAACUUUACAAUGCUGGCAACAGCGAUAAGGGGACCUCGAGUGCCAGGAUAUAAUCUUGGCUGUCGCGAUGCCUAAAAAGCAUUGCAUAGCAAGGGCCGGGCAAGACCGGUGCCAGCCGCCGCGGUAACACCGGCGGCUCGAGUGGUAACCGCUAUUAUUGGGUCUAAAGGGUCUGUAGCCGGCCGGAUAAGUCUUUUGGGAAAUCCAGCUGCUUAACAGUUGGGCUUUCAGAAGAUACUGUUCGGCUCGAGACCGGGAGAGGUGAGAGGUACUUCAGGGGUAGGGGUGAAAUCUUGUAAUCCUUGAAGGACCACCAGUGGCGAAGGCGUCUCACCAGAACGGAUCUGACGGCAAGGGACGAAAGCUAGGGGCACGAACCGGAUUAGAUACCCGGGUAGUCCUAGCCGUAAACGAUACUCGCUAGGUGUCAGCCACGGUGCGACCGUGGUUGGUGCCGUAGGGAAGCCGUGAAGCGAGCCACCUGGGAAGUACGGCCGCAAGGCUGAAACUUAAAGGAAUUGGCGGGGGAGCAC
rnacentral:rRNA from 1 species